GGCACCUGCCAGCUCGGUGCCUUUGCCGGCCCCGCGGCACCAGAAGUUGGGCUGGUCCAGGAGGAAGGAGUCCGAGAACUGGCUGAAGCCGAUGAACAGCGCCGGGAUCCAGGUGGGCUGCAUGGAGUGACCCCUGCCAAGGACACCGUGGGAACAAAGGGAGGAGAACACCAAAGAUCCAGGCUGGAGGAGAAAACCCUGCGAACACCUCCCCAGUUGGUUCCUACGCUGGAGAUUUCACUGUCAAGUCUGUCCGGUUCCAUUUGCCUUUGUGUUUCCACAUUCCAUCACAUUUUUACCGCAGACUUAGCUUUCAAGAACAUCUUCACCUACACUGUCAGCAUCAUCAGAUGUGUUUCUGACAUCUCUCCAGCACUCCUUUGUUCAUAUGGAAAGGAAUACUACCCAGGAGGAAUGCUAAUGGUAGGUUAGAGCUGUGUUCUUAUAAUGUGCUCUAAGCUUUCAGCCACUUUUCAAAUUGAUUCUGAGAGGUAUUCUCACCAACCCCUUGUCACAGAGGCAGAGGACUAAAGCAAGCACAAACCGAGCUGCAUGGCUGCUCAAAGGGAUGUGGAGGCUGCUCAAGGGGCUGUAGAGCAGGCCUUGAACCAGACAGAGCAGGAUGUCCCAGCUUCCACCUCCUUGACUUCUCUGCCUUGUAGGCAGAGGGAAACUCUGCAGAGUGCUACUGCCUGGGGCGAAGGACAGUCUCCAGUAGCUUUCUCCCCCAUACAAGCUAAGCCUGUUCUCAUCCAGUGAGCUGCUUUUCUGGCCCCAGCCCCUAUUUACCAUAUCCUACCAUUCUCUUAGGAGCUAUUCUUUCUUCAGCCUGGUCCUGCAGCAGUGUUCCAUGUGCCUGCCAUGCUCUUCUCUGGUUGCUGCUGCCCCUGCAGCAUCUGGCCUGUCUGGUUUGCUGAGUAAGUUGAUCACUCAGACUCCAGCCUAAAGCCCGAUGCAUCAAAGUUUUCCAACUUUACCAUCAGUGAGGCCCAAACAAGUCAGUGACUCUGUUGCUCAGCUCCAGCACACCCUGUUUGUGAGCCAGCCAAGCUCCUUGUGGUCCAAUUAGACAAUAUGCUUGUUUGCAUCCCUGUACCUUUGCUCCAACAGUAACUUUGAUAGUGAUGCAACCCCUCUUUCUGUUAUCCACCUGGCCAGGUUUCUGCUUAUCUUCUCUACCUAGCCCUGUUCCGCAUCAUUUUCCUGCUCCUAUUCUGUUGUAUCUUUAGCAUGCAGAUAGAUUGUUGUAUGAUGUAAUUUCUGCAUGUUGUCCUUAGUACUACUCUUGUCACCUCAGGUAAGAAGAAAACUGUACCCCAGUCUGGAAACCACCUCAUGUGUCUCUUGUGCCUCUGGCAGUGGGACCAAGCAAAGCCCCAGCUCCCUGUGAAUACUCAACAAGAACUAGCUGAUUAUUAUGAAUAGAUUUCAACUUUGGCAGCUGAGCUGUGCCAACAUCUAGUUACUAAUCACUCUCCACACAUCUGCUGUGCUCUUGAAAUCUAUUUGGGAUGUGCAGGCCUGGCCUGAGGGUGCCUGCCUGGGGUAAAAGUAUGCCCUACUUCUCUUGGUAGGAAGCAACACUUUCCAGGGUCAUCUGAGGGCAAAUUGGGUGCCUAGGGGGUAGUGCUGCGUGGGAAUGUGCAGCUAAAUGUGUGAGACAGAGGAGGUGUCGACAAGGAUACUUCAGGCUUCUCAGGAAGACUCCACUCUGCAAAGGCGGCUUGCAGCUCUGAGCUCAGUGGUGUCCAGGGACGUCGGUGGCUGCACUGCUGGAACCUAGACUGUUUCCAAGGGAGAAGAGUCAAGGUCAAAGAUGACUGCUCCUCCUGGUCCCCAUAGCCACUACUCUCACCCUUCCCACCUACCCUUCUGUUAAAAAGCACAACCUGUAAAGUAUAAUUACCAGAGCCUGCUCAAGGCAAGAACAGCUGUCACGAUGUGCACACAGCACUGUGGUACCCAAUGGGGCAGGAAGUAAAUCAAGGCACAUUCUCCAUGGUAAGAACUUGACCUUCAAGACCUGGAGACUUGAUGCUCACUCACCAAGUACUUUCUGUGCUGCUUGGUGAGCAAUCACCGGACUGGGCAUUGGGAUAGAUGCAUGGACAUCUCCUUCAACGGUACCACAGUCUGUCCUGCUUAGAGGAAGGUGGGAAGAGGGAAGAACUUGUGUAUGAAGGCUGAAAGGGCAAGAGGGGGAUGCUUUUAUAAAAAGCCAGUGUGGAGAGAACUAGUCCAUUCCUGCAACAAUGGCCUCCUCAGCCCUUCCCUAGAUGCUGAAUCUCCUCACAUUAGGCCCCUCUCAGUAUUGUUGAAGUGGGGAUUAUAUUUCCAGUAUAGAAACUUUGAGAGACCUUUUCAAACCAUAGUGAAUAUCAUCUACUCAGACAAACUGGAAGUCAGCAUCGUUAAGAAAGUACGUUUUGGUGGUGUUCUUUCAGAUUGUCACACUCUUUUGUGGUGGUUGUUUUGGCUUGAUUUUUUUGGAUAUUAUUAUGUAGCCUAGGUUGGUGUGGAAGUCACUCCCCCCCUCCCCCUGCCAUUUCUGCCUUCUGAGUGCUGAGAUUAUAGAUAUAGGUCACCAUACUAAGCUUAUGAGAUUUAAACAAAAGCUUUCUUCUUUAUACCACCAUCCAAAAAAACCACUCUCCUAUUUUACCUGUUCCUAAUUUUUUCCCUUUGCUGCCAACACAAUGACCUUGCACUUGGGGAAUUCCCAGCACAUCUGAUGGUUUGCAAGCACCUGCCCUUGGUAGUGGCCUAUUGGGUCUCAUUGCCCCAGAACUACUGGCGGAAGGCCCUUCUCAUGCUGCCGUCUACCUUCUGUUAAAGCACCAUUACAGGGUAUCACAGUGCUGUGUGCAUAGGGUGGGAGCUGUUCUUGCCUUAAAUAGUGCUCAGUGCUUCCCUGGAUACAGGGGACAUUUCUCUACUCUUGUAAAGGAUGUGGCACUGUAGGCCUUGCCUCAACUCCAAACUGCUUGGCAAUGAUACUCUUACAAAUCAUGGAAUGACUCCAUGCUAUUGUUAUUUGAAGAACAAAAGACUUGUCUGUUCAAAGACACUUUCCCACCAUUGAAACCAAUGGGUUAACAUCCAUGGAAUUAAGAGUCACUUGUUAGCAGGUAAAGUUGUUAGAAUAUAAAGCUGUGGGCUGUGAGAGGGAUCUCCAAAAACAAAGAUAGUUACCUGGGGAGCUUUUUAAAACACUGAAGUCUACUCCAGACCAGGCAAACAGAGUUCUAGGAGGAGAGAGGAUGACCAAGGUUUUCAAGUUUCCAAGUAUAGUGAGGAUUCACAACACGUACCUUAAGAAGCUAAGGGAGCCACUCAGUCCUUCUGUUUGCUAUAAUCCUCUUCAGGGGACACCAGACACCCUAAGACAUGUCUUUCUGCCUCAGAGCUCUGUAUAUGUUUUCUGUCCCAGCUAUGUAAGCAUCCAAACCCAUGCGUCUUGGAAACAGACUUUGGGCCCCACCUCAGACCUUCUCAGUAGAGUUGCAUUCUGUAGGUCUCUAGGGGGCUCAUGGACACAUGAGGCUGGAAUAGGACUUUCCAAGAUGGUGUCUUGAAUGUCUUCUUGGAUUCUCUGUUUUCUCACUGUGACAGGUUGAACUGUAUUUCUUCCAUUCCCAAAGUCAUAUGUGGAAGUCCUCCCUCCGGCUGACUUUAGAGUGUAAUCUCUUUAGAAAUGGGGUCUCUGCAGAGAGGCAGACCAUGACUCAACAUGACUGGUGAAUUUAUAAAAAUGGGAAAUUUAGACACUGAGCUAGGCAUACAGAGAAAUGUCAUGUCAUGAUAGCUAGCUACACACUGAGGAGAGAAGCCCUGGAAUGGAUCCUUCCCUGAGAUCCCUCAGAGGGAACCUGUCUGUAAAGGUUGCUAUUGUUUGAGUAGGAUUUAUCUUUCCUUCCAGUCCAGGAAGGAGUUUAACGUCCACAGUUUUAUGCUAAUGGUGUUAAAAGGAUGGGAAUGUCUUCUGGGUUUUGAGGGUAGAGAUUAGGUUAGAUUAGAUUCUUAGGAGGGAGCCCUCCUGACUGAACCUUGGUGACUCUAUUUGUUUCUUCUCUUAAAACAAUGUCAUUAAUUUUUUGAGAAUUUCAUACAAUGUAUUUUGAUCACAUGUACCUCCUACCAUGCUCCCUGAAUAGCACCUUCUAGUAUUGUAAAAGCUAACCAGCAGGAGGAAGCUUCUGGUCAAUACCAGCUUGAUUUCUCCACAGCCUGUGACCAAUGUGUGUGGUGCGUUCAUCAAUAAAGUCUCAUUAUUCAGUU